UUUUUUAAUAUUUUAUUCAAGUAUGACAAUUCAGCUUUUUUUGUUCAUACGUUGUUUUUACAAGAAGCAAAAAAUGAAAAUAUCAACGAAAAAGCUUGUUUAAAUUUUGAUGGGAAAAUAAAAAAAAAAAAUAAGUGCAUGUACACAUACAUUGUUACUGAAAACCAAAACGAGAGAGAAUAUGUUAGUAAUGAAAGAAGAUCCAACAUUGACCUGUACAAAUCAGGUAAGUAUGCAAAUGGUAAUAGUCGUACUAAUGACAAUAACAAUUUAAACGUUUUUAAAAAAAUAAAAAAUAUUUACAAGUUUGUUGAAGAAGUUAAUAAUUUUAUUUAUUUUGCUAUUCAUAAUGAAAAACAUGUCUAUUAUGAACUUGAUUGUUUAUUUAAAAAUUGUGUUUUAGGUAGUAAAACUACAUUUUCUUUAACUUUUGUUUAUUAUGAAAUUAAAAAGGGAUGUAUAAACAGGGUGAAUUAUGAUAAUGUUAGUAAAGUUAAGAGCGAAGGUAUAGACCCAAAACGAACUGAAUUGACUGAGGAAGAAACCAUUUUGAAAUUUUCCUCUUAUCCCAAUCAACUUGACAUAAGUAAAAACCACAACAACAAUAACAAUCUGUCGAAUGGGAAAAAAAAUAAAAAACAAAAAACAGAUACAGCAUUUAUGUUUCAUUAUAAAUAUAAAAAAGACUCAAAUGUUAUCAACUUGAACGAACUUUUUGAUUAUAUUUUAUCUACACUUAUAGAAACAAAUUAUAAAAAAGAAAAGAUCUUAUUUUGGGUUGAGAUGUUGUUAAGUUUUAAAAAUUUUGGAAUAGUUAAUUUUCAUUUUGUUUUUUAUUUAUGCAGUUGGAUAAAAAGUGUGACUGAUCGUAACGGUAGUGCUAACUGUAAUGAAAACAGCAUUGACGAAUACGACAUUGAGGAACAGAAAAUAAAGAUAUGUGAAAAUCUUUAUAUCUUAUACUUAUUCAAAUUAAGUCUAGUUUUAAAUAUUAGUAUUUAUGAAAUCUUUGAUUUUUUAAUUUCUUUACCUACUAUUAUAUUUAAUUACGACUUUUUUAACUUUUAUAUGAACAAGAAAGUGUAUAGUAUAGAAAAAACAAAAGAACCACAGGUAACAGAUUUUUUAAUUUCAAUACAGAAAGAAAUAAUGCAGAUACUUUUGCAGUAUGAUUCUUUUUUAUUUAUUGAGUGUAUUCAAUAUGUAAAAGAUU
rnacentral:lncRNA from 1 species